GCCUCAUCAAGCACUUCUGCUAAACACACACUCCCUGUUCCUCAUCCCUAUGUGUCCUAUUCAGCUGCAGGGGACUAACCGGAAGCUAAUAGCUUGUCUGAGACCAUGAGAGCCAGAAGUCUGCUUGCAAGGUGUUAUCCACUUGUAAUUAUAGGCCCGCAAGGGGUGAAUGCUUACCAUGGGGAGUGACUCUUCUUUCCCAAGUACAGGUGUCCCUUCUUCUUGAGCCCCUGCCAGGUGCUCAGCAGCUUGGGAGCCCGUCAGAUAAAUAGCAACUGAGGUUAUAGAUUUCCUAUGCUUGAAGUCUUCUGCCACUCAGCAGAACAGCAUUGGAAAAUAAUUUCAGUUCCAUAGUUCUUAUUAUAAACUCUAGUAAGAGCUGGAGUCCUAUUUUUAAAUUACCAGAUUUGACUUAUUUGCAUGUCUGGCAUAACCUACCAAAACUAGUCCCUGCAGCCCGGUUGCCCUCUUCUGUGCUUAUAUUAUUUCAUUUGUUUGUAUUUAGGAUCCCCAAAGAAGGGCUUAAUACAUUAUUAAGAGGGAGUUUGACCUAUGAUCUUUAAUAAGGAGCUUCUUAGAUUAGUCAAGAUUUGAAAGCCAAAUAUUUAUAAACAUGUUCCUACAUGUAUAAAAGGGAGGAUGUAAACCAAACUGUUAACAAUGAGUAUCUCGGGGGAGUGGUACUGGACAGGGUGGAAAAUGUCACUUUCUGUUUUAUACACUUCUAUUGUCUAAGCUUUGUUGUUUAACAAGGAGCAUGUGACUCAUGUUUUAACUUUUUAAAAACAUUGUGUUUAUUUAGAAUAAUUUUAUUCACUCAUGGGAAAUUAAACUGGAUUCACACUUAUGCCAAGAGCAAGUAUGAUUCAAGGCAUAUUAGAAUCAGUUGAUUGGAAUUGAUUGGCUUUAGGAGGAACUGGUGGAGACAGACUGACACAAGCUAGCGUAGAGCCUCUUCCACCAGCCGGAGGGAUGCUCUCAGUCUCUUCUCAUGCAAACCCCCGGAUUAGGAGAAGAAUGAAACCAGGAAGAUUGCAAGCCCUCGUGUGGAACCUAGGAGGCAGGGACUGGUGACCACUUAAAGCAGAUUGGCUCCAGCCUCGGCAGAAUGUGAUGCCAGAACAUAGGCAUGGAAUCGCCUCAGCUCUGCCAGGAGUUCGCUCUACAACUUUAGGAUUUCUGGGCAAAUA
rnacentral:lncRNA from 1 species